CCGAUUAAAAAUUGGAUCGAAAAUUUGCGAUCACCACGAAAAGGGAAAAAUUUUGUCUCUUGGGUCUUUGCUAGAGCGUCGUCGACCGGUCACCGAACCGCUGCCGUCGAUUUUGUUAGAGAAGGCCACCAAAAUGCUCAGUUUUUCGCCUGGGGUCCAUAUCCGGCUUUAAUUUGCAGAGAGGAGGCGCCCUUAAGUUGAAAAUCACAUUGACGACCUCCUCCUUACCGUCAAUCAUCAUGGAUUCGCAGGACGGAGCUGGUCGUGGGAAUUUAUGGAGGGGAAAUGCUCGUGAGGUUAUGUGGAGUUGAUCGGAGGUCUCGAUUCGCGAGAAUUUAUGGACGGAGCUGGUCGCGGGAAUCUUGAAUAUAUUUCCCGAAUUCUCGAUUUGCUUGCUUUACUAAGGUUAAAAAAAUCCAAUUAAAUUAUAAAGAUAUUAUAUAUAUAUUUUUAUGUUAAAAUUUUUUAAUUGGCUAUUACUAAGGUUAUUUUAGAGUAUCUUAAAUUUUAUAAGGACAAUAUAUAAAAUCUCAUUAUUCCCCUCAAUCCCACUUUUAUAUAUAGUAUAAACAAUUAAAUUUUUAGCAAGUCAAAUUCAAUUAAUAUUUUAAUUUUAUUAAUGCUCGCCCAAUAUUUAGGCCACAAAAAUAAGAGUUAUGAGUAGCUAUAAAUGCUUUUCUUGUACUCCCCAUCCCAAAAAGAUAGUCCAUCUUUUCUUUUUUAUUUGUCCCAACAUAUAGUUUAUUUUUCAUUUUGAAUUAUAGUUGAACAUUAAAUUGGCUAUUAUACAUUUAUUAAAUUUUAUCUUAUUUUCAAUAGCCUUCAUUAAUUCUUACUUAUUAUUUCAAUAUAAUAAUUACUCAUGUGUUAUUUAAGAUGGGCAUAAUAGAAAAUUUAUAUUAUAAAAUUGUCCUAUAAUCAUAAUAAUUGCUACUUUCUUAAUCUGUGUGAAAAUAAAAAAUUGACUAUAUUUUUUGAAAAUAUUAUUUCAUCAAUAACUCCGAUACGAUAAUAAAAUUAAUAUAAUUUGGAAUACAAUUCCAAACUUUUAGACCAGCCAUGGCCUAAAAUAUUAUACUUCCAUUUAUAAUACCUAAUGGUUCUCAUUAAAUUUUGCAGCUGGCAAUAUCAGUGAAACCUUUGAAGGUGAAAAACUGGAUUCUUCCAGAAAUGCCAGGGCUUAUAACUGAUUUUCUGAUUUCUCUAGAUGAUCGGUUUCUGUACUUUGUCAAUUGGCUUCAUGGAGAUGUCAGACAGUACAACAUUGAGGACAUAAGAAAUCCUGUCUUGACAGGUCAAGUUUGGGUGGGGUGCUUGAUCCAAAAAGGAAGCCCUAUAGUGGUUGAGACAGAAGAUGGUGACACCUGGCAGGCUUCUGUUCCAGAGAUUAAGGUUUGCAUCACAUCCAUUUUAAAGAACUCUUCCCCUCCUCCCUUAAUUUCUUGACCAAAAACUUCCUUUCAAAGUGUUUUCUGCCAUGACAGUUGAUAAUGCUUUAAGAACAGAUUUUGGUUUUAAAUGUUAUUUGAUUUCUUUAAAUUUGGCUAAACUAUAAUGCUACAGAUGCAUUAUUAUAGCCUAAUAAGUCCACAGUUUCAACAUAAAAGAAACAUCAUAUGCCUUUAGGCUCAUUCUUUUUUUCUUUUUAAAGUUGAAAAAUCAUAUAGGUCUCUAUGUUGUUUUGUGUUACUGUCAUGGGGAAGCAUCAUUCAUUGGCGACUAUUUUCAUGCAUCACUUGCAUGGCAUAUUCUUAUGGGUACACAAAGGGAGAGUCUACUUAGUGAUUGACGAGUUUCAUAUUUUCUUUUCAGGGUAAUCGAUUGAGAGGAGGACCCCAGAUGAUCCAGCUAAGUCUGGAUGGGAAGCGACUUUAUGUCACCAAUUCACUCUUCAAUACUUGGGAUCGUCAGUUUUAUCCGGAACUUGUGGAGAACGGAUCUCACAUGUUGCAGAUUGAUGUUGACACUGAGAAAGGUGGUCUUAAAAUAAACCCAAACUUUUUUGUGGACUUUGCAGCUGAACCUGAAGGUCCUUCUCUUGCUCAUGAGAUGAGAUAUCCAGGCGGUGAUUGCACUUCAGAUAUUUGGAUUUAAGUAUCCAGAAUCAUUGUGCUAGCUGAGGGGUUACCUGAGAACUAAUGUUACAAUGAUCCAAAUAAAUAAGCCAUUCAGUUGUGUAGAUCCAAAGAUCGCCACAUCAUGGCAGAAUAAAUUCGGAUAAAGGAGAUAAGAUAUUAUACUUGUAAUGCUUCCUUAUUUGAUACAUCUGUAGUUCAAUGUAAAAAUGAAGUUUCUUAAAUCCAUAUCAUAUGACUAUCGUCUACUUAUUUUUGAACAAGCAAUUUAGAUUCCAAAGCGCUCUUAUUCAUUCAGAUAUGGAUAAUGCUACAAGUUUCGAUUGUUCCUACUCGACAGAAAGUCAACUUUAUCAACUCUGGUAUCAAUUAUGAUAUCAUUUCUAUUCUCUAUGAGGAUGAAAUUGACUUGCUGAUGCACAAGAAUACUUUGUAUCGCAAUAAAAGAAUAUUCCACUUACAAGCAAUAGUAUAGCUCCUCCAAAGAAAACAUAUUCCAGGUUUUCACUAGGAAUAAACCUUGUUCUUCCCAUGAUUACUACUCCGUUACCCACAAAUGAGAAACCAAUAUCGACCAGCAGGGGCAACCUAUGCUCUUCCUGUCUCUGCUCAUCUAUCUCUUGGCUUGAACCCCUCAAUCUUCUGCAUUUAACGUAAAGAGCAUACACAAAAAGAAAGGCGAAUCCGGCCAAAAGAUAUGUAAACCCAGUUAAGAAAUUCCGGUUGGUAAUGCUGCUACUUUCCAGAAAUGCAGACAUCAAAAAGAAGUAGUUCCAAUAGGCAGAUUCAUAGGAUUUGUUCACUUGUAAGCAUCUACAGGUUAAAAGGUGAAGGCAAGUUAAUGAUACUAAUGUUACUAGAGUUGUUAACUCAUGAUGAAGAAAGAUAUCACAUAUCAACUGCAGUGAGUGACAACAGGCAAUUAUAGAGCAAAACAAUGAAAUUUGAGAGAUAUAUAAGUUUUGGGUUGUUCUUGCCAUCUUUGAAAUGUAGAAAGAUAGGCAAAGUGAAAGAAGAAAAAAAUUUGGAUGUGUUAUUGUAAUGUGAUACAAAGUGAUGAAGAAAUAGCUGUACUAAAGAAGCACCAUUUGACAUGACUCACAUGAUGAGCUUAAGAUGGUCUUCUCUUAAGACAUAAAAUAAUAUGUUAGUAUAUUAAAAAGUUCAGACAAGUGGAUGAAUACAGCCAUCUUUAGGUCAAAGAUUGAAAAUUUAAACAUGCCAGCAAAGAAAUGGUAGCUUCUCUUCCUCGUUUUGAGAAUCAAUACAGAAAGUCAAUUCUGUUAAUUUCAGUGGCCUCUCCUUCCAUCUUUUACAAUUUCCAUAUUCUGUCUCUACUCCAAGGACUAUUCAAAGUUCAGCUUAUUAGGUAAGCAUAUUAGGUAAGCAUUCACCGUUAGUGAUUAUAUAAUUUCUCUUACUUAAUAAGUUUCUCAACUUUUCAGUAAUAGAAUCUAACAUAACAAGUACUUCAUUUUCUGUGAUAAUAAAUUAUACUCAUUUAAAUCCCAAUUUGUAUUUUAUGAGUCAAUUUAUAUUAAAUAAAUCAACUAAAAUAAAGUUUAACUAGACUAACUUGAAUUAACUAGUUCUAAUUGAAUUUUUACAAGAAAAUAUAGUGAAGGGACUUAGGGCUUACCGAUUAAAAAUUGGAUCGAAAAUUUGCGAUCACCACGAAAAGGGAAAAAUUUUGUCUCUUGGGUCUUUGCUAGAGCGUCGUCGACCGGUCACCGAACUGCUGCCGUCGAUUUUGUUAGAGAAGGCCACCAAAAUGCUCAGUUUUUCUCCUGGGGUCCAUAUCCGGCUUUAAUUUGCAGAGAGGAGGAGCCCUUAAGUUGAAAAUCACAUUGACGACCUCCUCCUUACCGUCAAUCAUCAUGCAUUCGCAGGACGGAGCUGG
rnacentral:lncRNA from 1 species